rnacentral:piRNA from 1 species
UGUAAAGACCAACGAUAAGAGUCACUUC